rnacentral:ncRNA from 2 species
UUGAAUAUUAUUGUUUAUGGUACAUUUUUGUUUAAUAGGGAAAGUGGUAAAUUCCACUGCAGCCCCCGCUACUGUAACGAUGACAAAUCUUAAACCACUGAAUUAUUUUUGGGAAGGUAAGAGGAGGAUGAUUCGCAAGCCAGGAGACCUGCCAUAAAUACGCUAAUUCU